UUUUCGGAAAUCGAGUGUCCAAUCACAAAUAAAGGAAUUAUUCAGUUUAAAAAAAAAUAAUGCAGACUUUAAAAUUAACAUUUAUGAAACUGAUGCAGAUGGCGAAAAAAUUAUCAGGCCAACCUUUAGAACAAAGUCAAUUCGUUCUAUUCAUAUCAAUAUAUUAGGAAUCAACAAUAUAAGCCAAGAAGUCAUGCAUUAUGCCUACAUUAUGAGUGUAAAAAGAUUAUGUUAAUCGCAACAUUCCAAAUCGAAGGCGGGUGGAUAUUUUUGUGAAAACUGCUUACAAUUUUUCACCGUAAAUAACACAACCCAUAAAAAGCUUGAGUGCGGAAAAGAAGCCUCCAUCUACCCAGAGCCAAAUACUACAACAUCGUUUAAGGGCUUUCACAAAAAAUUAUCCCCUCCAGUGGUGAUAUAUGCUGAAAUUGAGGCUGUUCUUGAAAAUUACAGUACAUGCCUAAGCUGAGCAACUACUUCGUCGACAACAAAAGUGCAAAAGCAUACUGUAUGUGCAGUAUCAUUUUACAUUGCGCAUAAAUAUAAUCCGGCUCUUAACGAAUUGUACACAUAUGAAGGCGCUGACUGCAUUACCCAAUUUUGUAAAUCACUCAAAGAAAAAACUAUGAGUUUGUUUUACAAAUAUUGGUCAACCCCCAAAGGUCCGAGCACAAGUCCAAUUAAUGACGAUGAUCAGAAGGGUAGUUGCUGCGCCUGUGAGAAUGAAAUACAUGAUGACGACCUGGAAAACCACUUCGACCAAUUUACUGGAAAUUACGUGUGACCUAUUCAUAAAAAUUGUAAGCCAAAAUAUAAAUUAAGGGAUCCUUUGUUUCCUGUAGUAUUUCAUAA